CAGGGGUUAGUUUAGAUUUAGAAUAUUAGUUUUGGGGAUUAAAGAGGUUGUGUGAAGAUGCUUCUGA
rnacentral:tRNA from 1 species